rnacentral:rRNA from 1 species
CAGUCGCCACGGGAAUACGAAGGGGGCUAGCGUUGCUCGGAAUUACUGGGCGUAAAGGGCGCGUAGGCGGACAGUUCAGUCGGGGGUGAAAGCCCGGGGCUCAACCUCGGAAUUGCCUUCGAUACUGGCUGUCUUGAGUAUGAGAGAAGUGUGUGGAACUCCGAGUGUAGAGGUGAAAUUCGUAGAUAUUCGGAAGAACACCAGUGGCGAAGGCGGCUUACUGGCUCAUACUGGACGCUGAGGUGCGAAAGCGUGGGGAGCAAACAGGAUUAGAUACCCCAGUAGUCCCUGUCUCUUAUAC